rnacentral:rRNA from 1 species
CAUCAUGAUUUACAUUUGAGUGAGUGGCGAACUGGUGAGUAACACGUGGGAAACCUGCCCAGAAGCGGGGGAUAACACCUGGAAACAGAUGCUAAUACCGCAUAACAACUUGGACCGCAUGGUCCGAGCUUGAAAGAUGGCUUCGGCUAUCACUUUUGGAUGGUCCCGCGGCGUAUUAGCUAGAUGGUGGGGUAACGGCUCACCAUGGCAAUGAUACGUAGCCGACCUGAGAGGGUAAUCGGCCACAUUGGGACUGAGACACGGCCCAAACUCCUACGGGAGGCAGCAGUAGGGAAUCUUCCACAAUGGACGAAAGUCUGAUGGAGCAACGCCGCGUGAGUGAAGAAGGGUUUCGGCUC